rnacentral:tRNA from 1 species
AGUUAAUGAACUUGUACAAGUAUAUAUUUUGAAAAUAUAAUAAAGGAAUUAUAGCUUCCUAUUAACUU